rnacentral:rRNA from 1 species
GAUGAACGCUAGCGGCAGGCUUAACACAUGCAAGUCGAGGGGUAAGGUCUCUUCGGAGAUACACGACCGGCGAACGGGUGCGUAACGCGUACACAACCUACCUUUAAGUGAAGAACAGCCUUUGGAAACGAAGAUUAAUACUUCAUAAUUUUGCAGAUUCGCAUGUUUUUGCAAAUAAAGCUCCGGCGCUUAAAGAUGGGUGUGCGUCCCAUUAGCUAGUUGGUGAGGUAACGGCUCACCAAAGCAACGAUGGGUAGCGGGUCUGAGAGGACGAUCCGCCACACGGGCACUGAGACACGGGCCCGACUCCUACGGGAGGCAGCAGUGAGGAAUAUUGGACAAUGGGCGCAAGCCUGAUCCAGCCAUGCCGCGUGCAGGAUGACGGCCCUCUGGGUUGUAAACUGCUUUUAUGAGAGAAGAAACCCUUGGAUUUAUCCGAGGCUGACGGUACCUCAUGAAUAAGCACCGGCUAACUCCG